GGUUGUGGCUCAGUGGUAGAGUACUUGCCUAUUCACAUGUGAAGUCCUGGGUUCAAUCCUCAGCACCA
rnacentral:tRNA from 1 species